GACGGCUGGAGCGCUUAGAAGUGAGAAUGCCGGUAUGAGUAGCGAAAGACAGGUGAGAAUCCUGUCCACCGUAUGACUAAGGUUUCCUGGGGAAGGCUCGUCCGCCCAGGGUUAGUCGGGACCUAAGCCGAGGCCGAUAGGCGUAGGCGAUGGACAACAGGUUGAUAUUCCUGUACCAGUUGUUUUUGUUUGAGCAAUGGAGGGACGCAGUAGGCUAAGGAAUGCAUGCGAUUGGAAGUGCAUGUCCAAGCAAUGAGUCUUGAGUAGAGUUAAAUGCUUUACUCUUUAAGGACAAGUUGUGACGGGGAGCGAAAUAAUAGUAGCGAAGUUCCUGAUGUCACACUGCCAAGAAAAGCUUCUAGUGAGAAAACAACUGCCCGUACCGUAAACCGACACAGGUAGUCGAGGAGAGUAUCCUAAGGUGAGCGAGCGAACUCUCGUUAAGGAACUCGGCAAAAUGACCCCGUAACUUCGGGAGAAGGGGUGCUGACUUCGGUCAGCCGCAGUGAAUAGGCCCAAGCGACUGUUUAUCAAAAACACAGGUCUCUGCAAAAUCGUAAGAUGAAGUAUAGGGGCUGACGCCUGCCCGGUGCUGGAAGGUUAAGAGGAUGGGUUAGCUUC
rnacentral:rRNA from 1 species